UAGACAGAGACUCCUUCUGGCCUGAGUGAUGAAGGAAGACUGUCUCAAUAAAUAAAUACAUAAAUAAAUAAAAUUAUAACAAUCUCAGAAGGCAUGACACCUCUAGGACCCAUUCUCAUCCUACAUCCUCCUCUUUCUGGUGCUGAGAAAAAAAAGAAAGGAAAAAGAAAAGUCAAAAGAAGAGGGAAGGAACUGGUGGUGAUUGACUAGCAGACUGGCUGAAAUCAGUGGGAACCCGUAUGGCUGACAGCAAUCCGCACAGAACGAGCUUGCUGAUGUCACAGCCUGAAUUUCCACCUGCUGUUUCAUACUAACGCCACCAAAUUUGCACAUGCAACCCACGAAGAACCUUGGAGAUAACCAGACAUGAUUAAGGACUUUCUAGACUUCUCCUUUCUUUCCACCAAUCACCCGCUAAUCCCAGAAUCCUCCCCCUAAACCUUUUCUAAUAAAAGUACUGCCUUAAGACCAGCAAAGAGAGACAGAUUUGAGCUGGAUUCCCGUAUCCUCGUGGGUCAGCUCACAAUAAAGCUUUCCUUUUCUCAAAA
rnacentral:lncRNA from 10 species